rnacentral:rRNA from 1 species
GUCUUUUUGAUUUAUAUUUAUUUAAAGUCUAAUCUGCUCACUGAAUUAAAAUUUAAAGAGCCGCAGUAUUUUAACUGUGCAAAGGUAGCAUAAUAAUUUGUUUUUUAAUUGAAAACUAGAAUGAAUGAUUGAACGAGAUAUAUUCUGUCUCAAUUUUAAUUUAAUAUAAAUUAAUUUUUUAGUUAAAAAGCUAAAAUUAAUUUAAAAGACGAGAAGACCCUAUAGAUUUUUAUAUAAUUAUUAAUUAAUUUAUAUGUAUAUAAAAAUAUUUAUAUUUAUUAUUAAUUAUAUUUUAUUGGGGUAAUAAAAAAAUAAAAUAAACUUUUAUUAAAUAAAAACAUAAAUUAAUGAAAAUUUGAUCCAAAUUUAAUGAUUAAAAGAUUAAAUUACCUUAGGGAUAACAGCGUAAUUUUAAUUUUAAGUUCUUAUUGAAAUUAAAGAUUGCGACCUCGAUGUUGGAUUAGGAAAAAUUUUAAAAGUAGAUUUUUAAAUUUUAGGUCUGUUCGACCUUUAAAAUCUU